rnacentral:rRNA from 1 species
CAAAACCGCAUGAAAAAUGUAAAGCGUUAUGUGGAUCGAACAUUAGUAGAGAAGCGUGUGAGCCAGCUGCCAAGAAAAGCCGCUAUUGUUUCAUAAGUACCCGUACCGUAAACCGACACAGGUGGAUGAGGAGAGAAUCCUAAGGCCGGCGGGAGAAGUGUUGUUAAGGAACUCGGCAAAAUGACUCCGUAACUUCGGGAGAAGGAGUGCCACAGAGAUGUGGCCGCAGGGAAAUGGCCCAAGCAACUGUUUAGCAAAAACACAGGUCUAUGCAAAACCGAAAGGUGAGGUAUAUGGGCUGACGCCUGCCCGGUGCUGGAAGGUUAAGAGGAGAGGUUAGAGCAAUCGAAGCUUUGGAUUUAAGCCCCAGUAAACGGCGGCCGUAACUAUAACGGUCCUAAGGUAGCGAAAUUCCUUGUCGGGUAAGUUCCGACCCGCACGAAAGGCGUAAUGAUUUGGGCACUGUCUCAACAACACACCCGGUGAAAUUGAAAUACCAGUGAAGAUGCUGGUUACCUGCGCCAGGACGGAAAGACCCCAUGGAGCUUUACUCCAGUUUGAUACUGGGAUUCGGUACUGUCUGUACAGGAUAGGUGGGAGGCUAGGAAAUGGUGACGCCAGUUGCCAUGGAGCCAACCUUGGGAUACCACCCUUACAGUACUGGGUUUCUAACCUGCAGCCGUAACCCGGCUGGGGGACAAUGUCUGACGGGGAGUUUGACUGGGGCGGUCGCCUCCGAAAGAGUAUCGGAGGCGCUCAAAGGUUCCCUCAGAACGGUUGGAAACCGUUCGAAGAGUGCAAAGGCAGAAGGGAGCUUGACUGCGACACCGACGGGUGGAGCAGAUACGAAAGUAGGACUUAGUGAUCCGGUGGUAUAAAGUGGGAUUGCCAUCGCUCAACGGAUAAAAGCUACCCUGGGAUAACAGGCUUAUCACUCCCAAGAGUUCACAUCGACGGAGUGGUUUGGCACCUCGAUGUCGGCUCAUCGCAUCCUGGAGCUGUAGCAGGUUCCAAGGGUUGGGCUGUUCGCCCAUUAAAGCGGUACGCGAGCUGGGUUCAGAACGUCGUGAGACAGUUCGGUCCCUAUCCGGCGUGGGCGUAGGAUAUUUGAGAGGAGCUGUCCUUAGUACGAGAGGACCGGGAUGGACAAACCUCUGGUGUAUCUGUUGUUUUACCAAAGGCAUGGCAGAGUAGCCAAGUUUGGCAGGGAUAAACGCUGAAGGCAUCUAAGCGUGAAGCCCCCCUCAAGAUAAGAUAUCCCAUCUUCGGAGUAAGACCCCUUGAAGACUACAAGGUUGAUAGGCUUCAGGUGUAAGUGCGGUAACGCACUCAGCUGAGAAGUACUAAUAGGUCGAGGACUUAUGAA